rnacentral:rRNA from 1 species
GACAGAGGGUGCAAACGUUGUUCGGAAUUACUGGGCGUAAAGCGCGUGUAGGCUGCUCAGAAAGUCGGAUGUGAAAGCCCUGGGCUUAACCUAGGAAGUGCAUUCGAAACUUCUGAGCUUGAGUUCUGGAGAGGAAGGCGGAAUUCUCGGUGUAGAGGUGAAAUUCGUAGAUAUCGAGAGGAACACCUGCGGCGAAGGCGGGUUGCUGGGCUGAUACUGACGCUGAGGCGCGAAAGCCAGGGGAGCGAACGGG